rnacentral:misc_RNA from 1 species
CCAGCAACGGUGGGCAGCGCGUGCGCACAGCGCUCGCAUAUUCGGGCCACGGGGCCUGCUUCAGGACGGCGCUGUUGCCUGGGGAGGGGAACGGACUCGCUCUCUUCGUCUUCUCCGUCCCCGUCGCUGCCACGGGGACGUGCCGGGGUGACGUGCACGCUCACCGCGUGAGGCGAGGUGUGCUUCGAGCGUCGGGCGAUCCGCGAAUCUCGCGCAGCAUACCGGGCACCACGCCGGGCCGGACGCCCUCAUGGCCAGCACCGGCGAGGGUGGAGGCUCUGGCGGGGGCGGGGGGCGCCGCAACACCAGCGGAGCAGCGGGCAGCACGCCAUCCGCGCUCCGCCUCGUCGCUGCCAGGCGCCCGCCGCUGCAGCGAUCCCCAGUGCAUGGACGGGGUGCCCGCGCGGGCCUGUGCGAGGAUGGCCGCCCGUCGUACCGUGAGCUCAGCAUCCCUGCUCCUCUGGUGUGGGACGGCUGCCGCCAAGCACCUCUUGUCUCAGCGUGCCGCAUCGUGUAUCGCGGUUUCGGGCGAUGUCGGCCUGGCGUCUGAGGCCGGCGACCAGGCGCGUGAUCCACGCAGUCGGCGCCGGCUCCUCUGCCACUGCCGAUCCGGCAAGCCUGCCAACCUCGCCGUGGUGCGCCCAUCCGCAAUGGCCACAGGCAGACUGAAAUGAGAGGCGCACGCGACGGGCCGGCAGCGCCAGCACUUGUGCCCAGAUACGUCCGCCGCAUGCCCUCCCCCACCGCUCGCGGGCGCCAGGUGUUUGCCCUCGGGCCCAUCGCGCGGGGGCGAGGACGGAGGGUUCCAGCCCGGUUGAGCCGCCGUUUCCCGCCGCACACCCCGGCGGCGCGAGUUGGUGUCUGUUCCCAUAGCCUGAGGAGUGGGUGCAACGCCGCUUGAUGUCUGAUCGAGAGCUUCCCGUGCCACCAGCGUCACUCUCAGGUGUGUAGCCCGGCGUGAAGUGCAUCCGCCGGGUAGGGUCGUCGCAGCAAAGCCAGGCCGUAGCCGCUGCAACCUCGUCCUGGAGAACAAGGGAGGGGGGCCUACACCUCUACGUAUGUCCUCCUGUAUGAGCGCGGAGACGCCACAGCCGUGCUUCUCUUUCCACACGAGACCGCUGAAAGCUCGGGAGGCCGCAUGUCCUACGGGCCUGUGGUGGUGGAAUGCGUCUCUUGCGGAGUGCAGACUUGUAUCGUAGAUUCGACGAGGAGGCGGGUCAGCCAACACCGUCUGGCAUCGCUCAACCCAUCGCAACUCCGCUGUGCAUAAAGCGCAAGCUCGGCCCAGGAUUACGCUCAACAUCACCGCAACGCAGCUAAAGCAGAGAAGCUGGAGGCGGAUGCGUCGGUCUGCUGAAUUGUCGGCAAGAUGCGUGGCGGGCUGGCACAAGCUUGAUCAUGGCUGCAAGUGCCUUCGGCACAUCACCCGCGCAGACCUCCUCUCCGACACCGAGAGUCCGCAGCCGUGUCCAAGGGGUAGGCUGCAGGCUGUUGGCCUCCUCGCAGGGUGAGCACCGAACGCUGAUACAACGGUGAGGUGGCUGGCGUCAUCAAAGAUAGGUAAAGGAGGGGGAAAAAGAAGCGAAAAGUUCGAUCGUCGCCAUCAGCAAUACAAAGACUGAGGAACAGAGCGGUGUGCGUGGGCGCGUGUGGAUACGUGCCCUCGCAACGAAAGGAAUUUCUUGUUUCAGUUUUCUUCCGUCGAAGAGGUCAAAUGGGGAAAAGAGAGCGCAACUUUUUUUCAUACGCUGUAUGGCCCUCUUUUUUUUUAUUCUCACUUGCAUCGUUGCCUGUACGCAAGGCACUGUGUGCGCGUGUCGUAGGUCUUGUAUGAUGGCGAAGAAGUCUUCACCGUGCUCUGUUUGAUUUAAUUUUCUUUUUUAUCUGCAAUGUUGAGUUGGCCUGUGUGUCGGCCUUCUUCCUCGUUUGCAGGUUCAGGGGAGUCGUCAAAAUGGCUUCAGUCGUUGGGAAGAGCAAGCCUUGGAAAGGCGCACGGGAGAGGUUGCGAGACAAACGGCCUCGAGGAUGGCCAAGAGUCAAGUGGCCGGAGGUGAUGUCGCUCACACCUGUAGAGUGAGCCGCCGACUUGUUUGCUUGCGGUACGGCAACUGCACUUUGGGCGGGAAUAGUGUGGGAAAGGUAAAGUGAGAAGAUAGAAAGUGGACGAAUACGGUGAGCGUCGGGGCAUGAGGAAUGUGUGGGAGAGCAAAAGUGUGCGUGUCUAGUGUCCCGCGUCCCCCUAAGUGUCGACUUCUCCCCUUUUCCCCUCCUUCAGCUUCCCAGACCACCACCACCACCGCCUCAGCUUCGUUCUUUACAGCCUACUACACACCUCCCUCUCCUUUUCACCUCAAAAAACGCGCAAUUUCUUAACUAUCUAUAUGUGCAUACAUAUACCGGCGGCUAUUAGGGCUUCGUAGUCUUUCUUUCCCUCUCUCCCUCCCCGCCCCAAUGCGCCACGAAUGAGGUGACGUGGGGUGGUGGCGACGGGAACGGCGAGCGGCGCCGGGAGGAGGAAAAGACGGCCAGCAAUCAAGUCUGACACUCACACCAAGGUACACACAGGCGGAGAGGAAUGAGUUGGAAGGGGAAGGUGGGGGUCUUCUUACACCUCGCUGUGUUUUUCUCUCGCUUUCAUAUGGAAGCCAAAGGCCCCUCCCCCUCUAACAAAAAAAAAAUGACGGGGAUCACAACAGAAUACGGGCCUUGUGUAUUACCUCUGCUCUCCUCUGCUUUUAUUCUUUUCAAACUUCUUCUUUAGUUUUUCUUUUUUCGGUUUUUUUUGGGGGAGAGGAGGUGGGAGUGGGUGGGGGUGGGGUGGGGGCUUUCUGCCUUUUUGUGCGUUUGAGAGUACCUGAACGCGGCGAACGAAAGAAACGUGCGCGCGGAAAGAAAUGUGUGCGCUUCACGCGUUGCACUUUUUUCUUGUUGUCUGCCUAGAUGUCAAGGAUGAUGGGGCCGUUUUCUUCUCUGCGUGGUGUGUGAGGGCACCUUGUCUUUCUCACGCGCACUUUGCAGGUGUUCGAAUCGGUCAUGAGUACCCUCGCAUUCUUUU